UACCAAUCCUCCUGCUGCUCCCACAUCUCAGCCUUCCCAGUCGUUUUCCCUUCAUGAAGUCUUCUUGUUUCCACCGGUGUUCUCUAUGCUGUGAUAUACUGGGAGUCAUGGGACUCGGGCUAUGUGCUGCUGUGUUGUGCAGAGCUUCUAACGAGCUGUGAGCUUCAUCGUUUGCUGCUUAAUAAUUCUCAUGGUAGCAAGGAUGGCUAACGCAGGUGCUGUAAUUCACUAGAGAUCACUUAAUUACUAGUACUCAGCAUGAAAAAAAACGUGUUCAGUUUGGCAAAGGGCACACACUGAACUCCCAUACCUGACCUUCCUCUUGCUGUAAAGCUAGCUCUGGCUUUGAAUUCUCAGUUGAAACAUCUUAAACUGCCUGUGUGAACCAAGCACCCGAGCCUUGGGGAUUGAUCGAUCUCUGUUUAACAAGUAAGCAUUAGUUUGACUGGUACAUGAUUUUCUUUGUCUCAUAACCCAUCAUGUACAGUAACAACGGCACAUGGGUUUCAGAGACAUUUUUGACUCAACUUGCUCUCUAAACCUACAGGUCUCAUGCCACCAAUGUGAAAACCCUGAGGAAAUGAGAGGUGAAAGUGGCCUUCUCCAAGUCACAGUGGCCGGUGGUGGAAGUCAGACUAGGAAUUUCCACACUGUCAUGCACUAUAAGGCACUGUCCCCAGUUUUGUUUGUGUAUGGCCAUCCUCUAUCCAAGUCUCAGGCAGUGGGCCCACAGCUGUGAAGCUUUCCUGUGUAUCACACGAGUUCCCUUUAGAGGGCACCAUUGACUUCCCUGAAGCCUACAUUGACACUUGUGCUUGCUGUUAAUGAGGCUUGUUACCCCUCUGAGGUACGUUUCAGUAUUUUUUCGCUCUAAAUAUUUUGGAUGCUCUAGGCUUCUGCACAUUAUCUACUGUGCACAAAUAACUGGCACAAAAUGCACCUAUGUAAUAGACUUCUGAGGCCUUGGCUAUGAUAAUUUUCUCAGCCACCAAGCAAAAUGCUGGAAGGAACAUAUACUCCAGGAUGCUGAACUGUGUCUUCUCACAGAGGCUUUAAGAAGACUGGAAGACUCAGCUUCAAAACAUAGAAACCAGCACAAAAGUGAGUCUUCUACUGUGUGGUCUGGGAGAUGCAGGUUCUCCCAUCCUGUGUGACUGGAUCCUCAGAGAUGUAGUGGACUCUCCUCCCCUACAAGUGUAGCUGUUUUUCAGCAGACAGGAUGUUUCUGCAGGCAGAUGUUUCAUUUCAUCUUCCUCUCUCCCACACUCAAUUUCUUUCUUUGUGUGCUGUCCCCAGGAUGGGCAGGAUGUGGCUGCAUGGUCAUCUUAAUUCAUUAAGUGGUUAUGAAAUGAGCACAGCUUUAGGAGAGCUUUGUGACAUGAGUUUACUUUCUAGAAUGAAGUUGUUUCUGUAUUUUUUAAUCUGCAUUUCUGCGUCUUACCUUUAAUGAAGAAUUAUAAAUAUCAGGGAGGUAUAGAAAGUGCCUACUGUAGUCUCACAGCUUCAGGCAAUGCAUGGGUCAAAGGAAGUCCACAGUGGUGUAAGCAGGAUAAUUGUGAAAUGUCUGCUCUGCAACAAAAAAAAAAUUGAUUUAAUUUUAGAAUAGAACAUUCAAAAGGAUGUAACUCAUUUUUCCAGAUAAUUAUUGUAAUUUCAUGAAGAACAUACAACAAAAUAGUCAUUCAGAUGCUUACCUGGUCACUCACUCCUUAUUUUUGCGUAUGUCCUCUUCUGUGCAAUUGCACCAAGAUGGUCCUCAUAAUGUGAGUUUAUAUUUUCUAUUUAUACAGUUAAUUAACUGCAGGGCUGCCUGAGCCUUUCUCUCCUAUUGCAGAUGACUGAGGACUGUUCAGUGUUUACAGCAUCUGAGCGGGAUUUUUGAUCGUGUUCAUAAUGUUGUCUCCUUCAUUGGCUUGAAAGGUGCCCGUGGCCCAGGGUGGGAGCAGCUGACUGCUACAGGCAGAGGGGCAGGACUGGGCUGAAGGGUGAAGAGAAGCCCAGAUGAGGGUGUACAAGCCAUCCUUUGGAGCAUUGCAAGGGGGUAUGGCAAGCACCAUGCAGCUCUCAUAGGGCAGAGGCAUUAGCUGGCAGGCAGCCCAGAUGUCCCUGGGUGUGUAAUCCUGUGAAUCUCACCAGCCCAACCCAUCACUUACCUCUUCUUCCAUCCCUGUCACGGGUGAUGUCCAUAACAUCCAGCAGAUUAAACCUCUUAUUCAGCAAACUCAGCAUAAAUUUGUUUUGUGUUAGUGGCACUUACUGUUACACCUCCAUCCCCAAAAGCUUUUCAACCUCACUCUUGCAACACACUGAAAACAUAAAUCUCUUCUGAAAUGUUACAAAAUGUCUUUUUUUCCCCCCCUUAGUUAAAUCAGCAGAUCCAAGUUGGAAGAAAAAUCUAGUACUACCAAACUUCUAGUUUAUUUAUGUGGUCAUUGAUGGCAGGCAUGUUUACAUCUCUGUGAUGCUAAACCUUAGGGAAUUGCAUUUCAUUUCAGGGCUACUGGAUCUGCAAAUCCCAUGAGAUAUUUAGCUUUGAUUUAAAAAUAAACAGGGUGUUUUUUUCCUAUGGUUGUGGAAC
rnacentral:lncRNA from 1 species